UGAAAGCAACGAAAAAUUUUCAAGUGUACACAUCUAUUGUGAUCCUGAUAACUCACAGGAAUGAUACUGCUGAAAAUAGAGACUAGGAAUCAGACAGAUGUCCACUAAAGCCUGAGGUCAUUUUUUUCUGAUGGCUAAAAAGGAUGUUUAACCCCUAAGUCCUUCCUUCUUGAAAUCUUUGGUCUGCUUUAUUUUAAAUGUUUUGUUUUAGUUUUUAAUAUGACAUAAUUUGCAUUAGGCAUCUGUAAGGCUUUUAUCUGCUCAUUGCCUAAAUCUUUCAUCUGUAUGGGGACUGCAUUAAGCUCAUCCUGAAUAAUGGCCUCUAUUAUUUAAAUCCAUUAUUCAAAUUCCAUUUUUCUAAGAAGCUAUCACUCCUAUUCCAUCUGCAAAUAUGAAAACUUAAAUGUAAAGGUCCCUCUUCAAAUUUUCCACAGGAAAAAAACAUGUCAUCCAUUUAAAUGCAUGCUUCAGGCACUGCACAUUCUGUAAGAAGGCGAUUUUAAACAACCUAUUUCUAUUUAAUGUCAAAAUUGAGAUUUUAAAAAAUUUUGCUGAUUACAAAAGUAAUUCAUAUUUACUGUGAAAAAGAAAAUCAAACACUGAAGAAUUUGAAGUAGAAAGUAGCUACCCAAAAUUCUAUCCAAAAUUGCUAUAACCCACAGAAACAUUGUUUUAUCUCUAUAUUUUUCUAAAUGUUGAAAUAUUAAAAUCAUGACUAUUUACACAAAUUGAAUCAUAUGAUUCUGUGGCAGACAAUUUUCCAAAGAUGGUCACAACAAUAUCCCUCAUCCUGCAUGCUUUUCUGCAAGUUCCUUGCCACUCUCCCAUCAAGAAAUGUUAUUUCGCCACCUCCCUGAAUCUCAGCAGGACUUUGGAUUGCUUCAAUCAAUAGAAUAGAGCUGAUACAACGUUAUACUAAUUCUGUGUAUAGCCUUUAACUGGCCUGGCAACUUCCACUUCCUGCUUUUCGGAAGUCAUCCUAAAACCAUGUGUGGACAGAAAGAGUCCAUAAGACCUAAAUGUCCUGGAAGGUGAAGUCAAACCAUUGAGAAAAUUACCUGGAGAGUCUUCCAGAGGCUGAGACUUCACCCUAUUGGUUUUUACGCUUCUCAGAGCCAGGAGCAUCCCAGAUGCAGAGUCCAGAACUGGGAGGAUGUGGUACUGAGGGAGCCCAGAGCGGAUGGAAUAACAAGGAAGGGAUUUGCCUUCCUGCUUGAAGCAUCUAACGAAUCUGACAAAGUAUAUUAAAGAAAGUGUCUCAAGACACUGGACAUCAGGUAAAGAUGAAUAGGGAUCCCUGAGAGAUGGGAUACAAAUUAGACGAGCCCUACCUUUGAGGUGCUCUCCUAGCUAUGGCCUGGAGAGCAUUUCCAGACACAGCACACGGACAGGCAACCCAGGAGGAGCACAAGAGUCUCCCUAAGCUGAACUAGGAUGGGGCAUGGGGGACCCUGGGGCUGAGGCUGCUAGAAUUCACAAGGCAAGAUACUGAAGAGAAGAGAUCUGCAAAGAAAUAGAACUCCAGAGAUCUACAAAAGUUUCAAUACUCUUCAGCGUGUGCAUGUGAGAAAACUAUCAAAAGGAUUAGAGGGAAAAAUCCCUACACGGGGUGGGAAUAGUGCCUGUUCAUACCAUCUGGAGUGGAAAAUCUUCAUAAUUACAGGGAUUGGUAGACUAUUCAAGAGUCUUGCCUCACAGUGGAGAAAAUUUUACCCUAGACUAAAUGUUGCUCUGCUCUCUCCUUACAAAGCUUAAAGGAAGACCCAAUAGGAUAAAAUUGUUUUCAAGUCACUUAACUGCAUCCUAGAAUGAACUCAAGUAUAUUUAUAGGAAUACAAUAAUGUACAGCCCUCAACAAGAGAAAUUUCACGAAGCUUGGCACACAUUCAAGAAUAACGAGGCAUGCAAAGAAGUAGGACAAAUGCAACCAUAAUACAGAGAAAAGCCAAUCAAACAGACCCAGUAAUGACACUGAUGAUGGAGUUAGUAGACAAGGCCAUUAAAACAGUCAUUAUAACUGCGUUCCAUAUGUUUGAGAAACUUGAACGUGAUAAGUAGAGACAUGGAAGAUAAUUUUGUUGCCUGGGCUUACCCUUCAGACUCUGCUUCUUGAACAGUGUCAGUGGCUGUAAUCUCAGUUCAGAUCUUUCAUCUUUAACUGAGCUGCUUUGAGUCUUCUGCAUAGGUGUGGUUUGAGAGUCGGUCAGACUGGGUACACAGAAUGGCCCCCACCACCGCAAUUCUCUUCAGUGUUCAUAGUAGUCCAGCUUCAAUUUUCUGGUUCCCCAGGCCAGAAAGAAGGGAUGCUUGUUUGUCCACAUGCACCCCAACAGCUGCUGUGUGCACUAUAUGGAGCCACAGAGAUGGGACCUUUCCUGGGCAACUUCUCAUCUCCCCUGUCCAAGUACACUGGAACCAACUGGAAGAGCACUAAAUUGUCAAAGCUGGAACAUUUUGAGCAACAAAAUAAAUAAAGUAGUAUAGAGUGAUA
rnacentral:lncRNA from 1 species